GACGAACGCUGGCGGCGUGCUUAAUACAUGCAAGUCAACUUGACUUUAGAUAGCAAUAUCGAAAAGUAGGGUGGCGCACGGGUGCGUAACGCGUAGGUAAUCUGCCCUGAGGUCUGACAUAACCCGUCGAAAGGCGGGCUAACAUCAGAUGAUAUAUAAUCACGACAUCGUGGAAAAUAUCAAAUCUUCGGAGCCUUGGGAUGAGCCUGCGUCUGAUUAGGUAGUUGGCGGAGUAAUAGCCCACCAAGCCUACGAUCAGUAGCUGGUCUGAGAGGAUGAUCAGCCACACUGGAACUGAGACACGGUCCAGACUCCUACGGGAGGCAGCAGUAAGGAAUAUUGCUCAAUGGGGAAACCCUGAAGCAGCAACGCCGCGUGAAGGAUGAAAUACUUUGUAUGUAAACUUCUGUAAGAUGGGAAAAUAUUCUCCUCGGGAGAAUUGAUUGUACCAUCAGAGUAAG
rnacentral:rRNA from 1 species